rnacentral:rRNA from 1 species
GACGAACGCUGGCGGCGUGCUUAACACAUGCAAGUCGAACGGAAGGGCCCUGCUUUUGUGGGGUGCUCGAGUGGCGAACGGGUGAGUAACACGUGAGUAACCUGCCCUUGACUUUGGGAUAACUUCAGGAAACUGGGGCUAAUACCGGAUAGGAGCUCCUGCUGCAUGGUGGGGGUUGGAAAGUUUCGGCGGUUGGGGAUGGACUCGCGGCUUAUCAGCUUGUUGGUGGGGUAGUGGCUUACCAAGGCUUUGACGGGUAGCCGGCCUGAGAGGGUGACCGGCCACAUUGGGACUGAGAUACGGCCCAGACUCCUACGGGAGGCAGCAGUGGGGAAUAUUGCACAAUGGGCGGAAGCCUGAUGCAGCAACGCCGCGUGCGGGAUGACGGCCUUCGGGUUGUAAACCGCUUUCGCCUGUGACGAAGCGUGAGUGACGGUAAUGGGUAAAGAAACACCGGCUAACUACGU